UACGAGGGGGGCGAGCGUUGUUCGGCAUUAUUGGGCGUAAAGGGUGCGUAGGCGGCCUGACAAGUCUGAUGUGAAAUCCCUGGGCUCAACCCAGGGCCUGCAUCGGAAACUGUCGGGCUUGAGUAUGGGAGAGGUGAGUGGAAUUUCCGGUGUAGCGGUGAAAUGCGUAGAUAUCGGAAGGAACACCUGUGGCGAAAGCGGCUCACUGGACCAUUACUGACGCUGAUGCGCGAAAGCUAGGGGAGCAAACAGG
rnacentral:rRNA from 1 species